rnacentral:tRNA from 1 species
GCGCUCGUGGCGGAAUUGGUAGACGCGCUAGCUUGAGGGGCUAGUGACCGCUUAGGUCGUGGAAGUUCAAAUCUUCUCGAGCGCACCA